AUGGAUAUGGAACACGAAACACCAAAAAAAUUAGUUGUACUUGCUACUCAUGGAGAUGGGGAACCUCCUAAAACCCUCAAUGCUCGUUAUGUGAAAAAUAUUUUGCACUACUUUGAUAAUCCUGAGAAAACCCCAUUCAACUUGAUAAUGGGAGUAACGUUGGAUCAACGUGAAUACUUUAGAGAUUAUCGCUUGACACAAAAAGGGAAAUUGUUACGGGAUCAAAUUUAUAUGUUGCAUUGGCAUGCUCGGGAUUUAUGCUUGAGAUAUGAUUAUACUUGUUGCUCUAGGAUGAACGCUCCACACCUUCCCUUUUCAUGCAAAUUUAAUGAUAAUGAAACCUUAGCUUCUUAUGCUAAUGGUAUAUAUGAUUACUAUGAUGUGGAACGAAUAGAAGAAUUUGUUGCUUUUAAGGGUGCUUAUGAAAUUGAAUCUUUGUUUAUAAAGUAUGAAGCUUUUGAUGAUGAUGUUUAUAGACCUGAAAAUUUUGCGAUCCUUAAAUAUUGCUAUGAUAAUUACAAAUAA
rnacentral:rRNA from 1 species